rnacentral:rRNA from 1 species
CGUCUAUAUACGUAUAGCAUAUCAAUAAGCGGAGGAAAAGAAACUAACUAGGAUUCCCUCAGUAACGGCGAGUGAAGCGGGAAGAGCUCAAAUUUGAAAUCUUCAAGGUUUUACCUUGACGAAUUGUAGUUUAAAGAAGUGUUUUCUGUUGGAGUUUUGGUAAAAGUUCUUUGGAAUAGGACAUCAUAGAGGGUGAGAAUCCCGUAUUUGACCAUUAUCUCCAGCUUUGUGAUACACUUUCAAAGAGUCGGAUUGUUUGGGAAUGCAGUCCAAAAUGGGUGGUAAAUUUCAUCUAAAGCUAAAUAUUGGCGAGAGACCGAUAGCGAACAAGUACCGUGAGGGAAAGAUGAAAAGAACUUUGAAAAGAGAGUUAAACAGUACGUGAAAUUGUCAAAAGGGAAGCGUUUGACACCAGUGUUGUUUUUCCGAAAAUCAAUUACGAAUGUUUUGUUUUUAAGGAGUUAUGACUUCAUCGGCUUGCUCCUUUCUUUACGAAACUUUCUUAAUGCACUUUUCGGUUAACAAGUCAACAUCAAUUUCUUUUGUUGUAAAAGGGUAUGAGGAAGGUGGCUUUCUUUUCGGAGAAAGUGUUUAUAGCCCUUAUGCCUCUACAAUCGGAGAGAUUGAGGUCUGCAGCGUAGAUCCUUCGGGGUUAGAUACAUUUGUGCUAAGUUAUAGCUUUUCAUAGACAACUUGUUGACUAUGUUUAGUCUUGUAGCUUACUCGCUUAUGCUAUUUUACCUACGCUUAGGAUGUUGA